rnacentral:lncRNA from 1 species
CAGAGGCCAAACAUGCUAUGUGGCUACAUCGUGAUGAUCAGACUCUCCCGACAGUGAUCAAAUUAUGGCGAUCUACUACCCGCACAAAGGUAUUGUGUUCUGAACACAUUACAGUAAAGUGUUUACUGUUCAAAUUUGAAUUUCAAAUUUAAAUACAUGCAUGCUAUAUAUCAUAUUUAGAUCCUAAUGUAGGAUAAAUUUUUAUUAAUUAAUUAGAUU